rnacentral:ncRNA from 1 species
GUAGGCUUACAGUGCCUGCGUACCUUUUGCAUAAGUGGUUCGCAAGUUUUUAAUUUGGCAAACUUAAACCGUAAGGUAGAGGUGAUACGAAGGUGAAAUAGUCAAAUGAACCCGAAACCAAGUGAUCUACCCCUGAUCUGGCGCGGGCGUCGGGCCCAAAUGGGCCCCGUGCCGCGGCCGAACCGGUGGAUGUGGCAAAAUCCUCGGAUGAAUUGGGGAUAGUGGUGAUACGCCAAUCGCACUUGGAUAUAGCUGGUUUUCUGCGAAAACUAUCUAAGUAGUGCCGGCACUCUUUUUGCCGAGUCAGGCGUAGGACGAUAAGGCCCUAUGUCUAAUGGGAAACAACCCAAAUCAUUAGUUAAGGACAUAAAAGCGGGGCGGGAAUUCCCGCCCCCUCGCUUGUGUAACUUAAAAGUAAAGUGUGUAGUUUCGACCUACAAGAUAGAGGUGCAACUCCUUUCACAAGUUAAU